CAAUAGCGUAUAUUAUAGUUGUUGCAGUUAAAAAAGCUCGUAGUUGGACUUCUGAUGUGGGGAUUCGGUCCACCGCAAGGUGAGCACUGAUGUCCUUGCGUCUUCCUCUCGUAGUUGUUUGGCGCACUUAGUUGGGUGCCAGAUGAAUAUGGGACCUUUACUUUGAAAAAAUUAGAGUGUUCAAAGCAGGCGAUCGCUUGAAUACAUUAGCAUGGAAUAAUAGAAUAGGACUUUGGUUCUAUUUUGUUGGUUGUUCGAGAACCGAAGUAAUGAUUGAUAGGGACAGUUGGGGGCGAUCAGUAUUCUGAAGCGAGAGGUGAAAUUCUUGGACCUUCGAGACUAACAACUAGCGAAGACAUUGUCCUACGGAUGUUCUCUUUAAUUCAAGAACGAAAGUUAGGGGGAGUCGAAGACGAUUAGAUACCA
rnacentral:rRNA from 1 species